AGAUUGAACGCUGGCGGCAUGCCUUACACAUGCAAGUCGAACGGCAGCGCGGACUUCGGUCUGGCGGCGAGUGGCGAACGGGUGAGUAAUAUAUCGGAACGUGCCCAGUAGCGGGGGAUAACUACGCGAAAGCGUGGCUAAUACCGCAUACGCCCUACGGGGGGAAAGGGGGGAUCGCAAGACCUCUCACUAUUGGAGCGGUCGAUAUCAGAUUAGCUAGUUGGUGAGGUAAAGCUACACCAAGGCGACGAUCUGUAGCUGGUUUGAGAGGACGACCAGCCACAC
rnacentral:rRNA from 1 species